rnacentral:rRNA from 1 species
AGUGAACGCUGGCGGCGUGCCUAAUACAUGCAAGUCGAACGGAGUGGCGCACGGGUGAGUAAUGUAUAGCUAAUCUGCCCUACACUAGAGGACAACAGUUGGAAACGACUGCUAAUACUCCAUAGUGUAGGAUGAGGCUAUAUUGUAUCAGCUAGUUUGUGAGGUAAUGGCUCACCAAGGUUAUGACGCAUAACUGGUCUGAGAGGAUGAUCAGUAACACCGGAACUGAGACACGGUCCAGACUCCUACGACAGGCAGCAGUAGGGAAUAUUGCUCAAUGGGGGAAACUCUGAAGCAGCAACGCCGCGUGGAGGAUGCCACUUCUCGGAGCGUAAACUCAUUUUGGUAGGGAAGCGGUAGCUAAAGAAUAAGCACCGGCUAACUCCGUGCCAGCAGCCGCGGUAAUAG